rnacentral:sRNA from 14 species
CGGAAGUGCCGUUCUCGAACUGGACCGAUUGUUGCCUGAACAAUAUCAAUCUUCCCAGCUCAGAACGCACUUUCCUUAUCCCGACACCCCGACAAACAGUCCAUUGUCAGUGGAUCGAG